rnacentral:tRNA from 1 species
GGUCAUGUGGCCUAGUGGUCAUGGCAUCUGCCCGGUAAGCGGAAGGUCGUGGGUUCGAUUCCCAUCCCUUGACAG